CAGAAAUGGCGAGAGUACGCAUCAAGAGGACUAUCGGGGUAAACAUCAUUUGGUUGCAACCAACGAAAUGAAAUUCUGCUUGGAUGCUUCCCCAAAACAAAAGCUUAUUUCUAAGUUCAAGAGAGGUACAUUUACUCCUUGCAGAUGGGAUGCAAAUCAGGUAUGCUUUACUCCAUAUUUCACAUACAAGAUUUGCAUGUGGCCCUUAAUCUCUAGAAAUAAGUAUAGAAGCCUGCAUUGGCCCAAUUUGUAUUUUGUUGAUUGAUAUACAUAGAUUCUAUUGAAAGCUGAUCUAUCCAGUGUUUCAACAUAUGUGAAAGCUGAAUCCAAAUGGGACCAUGGUAAAAAAUUACUCCGGUCUAUGUGUAAUAGCAGAAUCUGCCAAAGAUAGUAUUAGUCCUGGUGGGAUUUGCUCUUGGAUUGCAAAAGGAAGAAGAUAGAGCAAUGCAAGGAUUUACUAGAAGAUUGUGGGAUUGAUGAAGAGUGAGGGUCUCUUGGCCGAAAUUGGUCUAGCACAUUAUAAUAAAGCUUCCAGUUUAGUAUUUCAAUAAACUCUCU